rnacentral:lncRNA from 1 species
GCUGGAGCAUAUAUCCUCAGCAUCCUCUUUUCUGUGAAACCCAAGCAGCCGAGGCGUCCUUGUGCUCUGCUGCCUGGGGUGGUGGGGCUCUUAUCAAAGGAAGCAUCCCGUUUGGAUCAUGUAUUGUGUUGGUGGCUUUGAGUGUGAGUCUUUCAGCCAGUUCAGGUCUGAAUUCACAUUGGAGCUGGGAGCCCCCCCCCCCCCCGUGUGUGUGUGUGUGUGUGUGCGUGUGUGUGUGUGUGUAGCUGUUGGCUGUCUCUGGCCAGUGUCUGUCUCAUGAGGGAUUCAGUUCUUAGGUACUUCCUCUGCAGGACCCUGUAGCCUGGAAUUGGAGGUGCAUUUUGGAGAAGGUUCUCCUUUCCUCAGAAGCCUCAAAGUCCUGCAGAGUCCGCAGAAGCUAAUGAGCUAUUGGGAGGGCACUUCAGCUUCUUGGGACGUGUCAUAUGGGUGCAGUAACAUCUAGGUGUCCCUGGUCAGGUGUCUCCUAGUGUGUUUGGAAAUUGGGCAUGACAAUGAAUGUCUCAGGCAUCUCCAUAUCCAUUGGAUUCCCAGGGUGAUCUGCAGAGGAGGGACCUGUGGAAUUGGAAUCUGGGGCAGAGGGGACCUCCAUGUCACAAGGAGCUUGGAGUCUGUCGCUGGGAGCUCUGGGUCCUGGGGGCAGAAUGUCCUCAGCUUUUUCACAAGGACUGAGAGAGGUCUGGUGUGUACGUUUCUACCUGCAACGCCCACCUGCACAUGAAGGCUGCUGCCCUCGUGGUGGUCACUGUGUGUCUCUGGUGGCACUGCAGAAGGAAGAGGAGUGAGCUGGGCAAUGCAGUGGGUUCCCUUCCUGGACAGUGCUGCCUGACCAUCUGGGGCAGAUCUAGGGGAUAUAGUGUGGCAUGCAAAGGGUCCGGGCCUGGUUGUCUUCCAGACAGGAGCUGGGUGCUGCCUGGCCCCAAGAUGCUUACCACUUACUUGCACCACAUGACGGGGCCCUUGAUGGUGCCCGCCCCACACUAGGGUGGGUGUGGACCACUGUGACUUCGGGAGCUGCGGACUUAAAAUGAGGCAUGUACCUUUGCUGGGCUCUGAGUUCUAGCUCCGCCUCAGUUUGGCCUGCACCCUGUCUUGAGGGGUGGCUAGACUGAGGGCAGGGCAGGCUGGCUGCCCCUGAGUAUCAGGGCAGGGCAAGGUGGCAGUCCUGAGCUCCUGGCCCUCCUACCACUGCUGUUCUUCUUGUUCCCAAGUCCUCCCAGCCUGUGACUUCAGUCUGCCUCACUUCCCAUCUGUUAAAUGGGAUGGUGGAGCUGGCUCCUUCUUAGGGCCAUUGCCCAGGGCCAGCAGGCGGGGAGGGCUGGGGUGGGGGUUGCUCUGGAGCAAACAGCUGGUGUGCAUGGCACCUCCCCUGCUCUGGCCAGCUCCUGCAUCAGGUGCUGGUGGGAAGGUGUUCAGGUCAGUGGUUCUGAGCUGAGGGCGGGCAGCAUGGGAUCUCCCGGCAGUCCUGGCCGCUGAUCUUGCUGGAGGCGGUUGAGGGGCAGGUUAGAGAGGCAGGGCCUGGCACCCAACCAGGCAGGAUCCUUUCCUAGCUUUCUUUUACUGUAUGAGUGGGGCUCUUCAGGCCACCCUAGAGGGGAGCAACUAUAGUGAUUAUUCUUUGAUCCCACAGACCAGGGUGCUGGGUAGACUCCAGCCUGGCUCCAGAAAGUGCUGAGUGAGGGGAGUGUUGGUCCAUCUGAGUCUUGGUGCUCACCACGCCACUGCAGUGUUGCUGGGCCACCUGACUGGGGACAGUACCCCCUUCCCUCUCCAGGGCGCGUGUCUUCCUCUGUGUCCUUCUGGGGAGAAUAUCCUUCUGGGCUGUGGCUCUGUGGUCACCCCCACCCAUGCAGGGGCCCUUGAGUGCAGCAGGUGGCCGGGUGCAUGGCCACUGAGCUCUCCAGAGGGACGGGCCAGGGCCUGGCCUGCUGGGCCCCUGGCCAGGAGUCCUGGUUUCUCAGCAAGAGUGUGAAGGGACUCAAGUGUAAGGUGUCCGCCUGUCCUUGCUGUUGUGGCUAUGGUGGGGGGUCAGGGUCUGUGUUGAGGUGGACGUCCCUGCAGCAAAGGAACCUUCAAGGGCUGGCUGGCUCCCAGGUGGGCUGCUGCGGCCUGAGGAAAAAACCUGGAUCCAGAAAGUGGGGGGGUGGUUAGAGGAGAAGCAGGGGCCGCAGCUGCUGCCUGGGGAGCGCCUGCAUGCCUGGCCGUGGGACAGCCCCAUGGGUCCAGUGGAGCAGGGCACAUAGGAUGGGGCCAGGGCUGCCAGACAGGGCUGGGCAGCUGUUGCAAGGCAGGUGUGAUGUGGACCCGACAAGCAUGGGGCGCUGGCCAGGGGCGCCUAGACAGCAAGGGCCCUGCGCCUCUUACAUGGGAGAGUCUGUCCUGGACAGGGAGGCCCCGCCCAUGCUGACUGCCCGCCCUGGGGCCGCCUGGAGGCCCCUGGCCCUGGUUCCUGCCCUGGCUUGUGGAAGCAGUUGGCUCCGUCUGUCACUGAAGCUGGCCCUCCCUUAUGGAUCCAGUUUCCCGCAGCCUGAGGGCUGGCCCCAGGGUGGCCGCUCCAGGGGCACUCAUUCUGUCUGCCAGGGCAGAAGGCAGCAGUGCCUGUAGCAUGGCUGUGGAAUUCCCCGGAGGUGGCAUGGGCCUGGCGUCCUGGCUGGGUCGGCCUCACCCUUUGGCUCUCCCCACCCUGAGCCCCCCCUUCCUCACCUGGAACCCCAUGGGUGCCACACUAGGAUGGAGCAGCAUCGGCCACUCGGGAGUACAGGAGGCCAUCAGUAUGGGGUCCCCAGGACUGCCCCAGGGGUGUGAGAGAUACUGUGACAGGAGUCCUCAGGAGAAUGAUGACCCCAGGUAGAUGGAGAGAGCGGGCCACCCUCCCAUUGGAGGAGCUGGCCUCCUUGAAGGCUGUUUUGUGGCCAGUGGGGACAGUGGAUCUGAGCAAUAGGGGAGACCAGGGCCACUGAGAUCCAGAGGAACCACCCCGCCCAGCUUCCUUCCCACUCUGCUGCCCAUGAGCCUGCCCUUCUGGAGCUCUGCUGCCCUCUGGGGUGUGUGCACCCUUGGAGUGACUGGGGACACGUGCCCCUCCUCUGCACCCAUUGUCACAUCCACCCGUUCCUGAACACGCCCAGGGCUGUGUCUCUGCAGAUCCUCCAGUGCCCCAGGUGGGAGCCCCAUGAGCAUGCCCCCUGCCUGGCCCUGUAGGGUCCCUGCUCCCCAACCCCCACAUGGCUCCUGCAGCCUUCCCAUCUGUCUGCUGAAACACCCCAAAAGGGUCCCUGCUCUGGGGCCAGGUGAGGCUAGAGAUGCCACCUGCUGUCCUCCAGCUGGCCCAACCAGGGCCAGGGAGGUGCCCUCCAUGUUGGGUGAGUGGACAUUGUCCUUGCCUUGAAGCUGGGCUGUGGUGCUGGCCCUCAGUACCUGCUGCCCAGCAGUGUCCAGCUCCAAGAGGGGAUCCUGAGCUUACGGCAGGCAGUGUGGCAGGAGGAGGCCGGUGGGACUUACUACUGAGUUUUCGAGGGGUCUUCCAUGGGGUGAUCCCUGCUCCCGCUCCAUCUGUCCAGGCCCUGAAACAGCACUGGCCUCCUAGCUUUGCCGCUGGCCCUCUGUGAGCUCAGGGGGGCUGAAUUUCUGCUCGAGGUUCAGUCUUCAGCUCCUUUGGAGGAGGAAGGCAGAGCCUGGGCGUGGGGGCCCCACCCUUGCUGCUGGCUCCUGUGGCGUCCUGGCCCUGGGCCUCCCUGGUGCCCUCUGACCUGGGCUUUCUCUUGUGUUGGAGGACUUGCGGUCUGUCUGUUUCCGCUCUGUGGUUUCAGAUCCUCUGUCAAGGCUUUGCCUCUUGCGGACUUUCACCCACACUUGCGCAGUCCCCGUCGGCCCUGGUGGGAGCACCUGGGGGCCCUUACUAUGGACUGCAGGGGAGGCCUGGGAGAGAUAGGCCUCAGGAAGGGCCCCAGAGCCUCAGUUUCCCACUCUGAGAUGGGGUCCACCCCUGCUUCGCCAUGCCUGGCCAGAGCGGGCAUACCUCAUCUGCUUCUAGGCCCUGGUCUGCGAGGACCGCGGAGGAUGGGAGGGCUGCUGCUCCUGGUGGUACUGUUGGCGGGUACAGAGCCAGGGCUGCAUGGAGGGCAUGGCGCACCCAGCCCCUCUACGGGGUAGGUUUAGGCCAUGUCGGGAAGGCUGGCAUCCAGCCCUGCCACCACAGUUCCAGCUGGACCCUCUGCUCCCCCAGGAGAAGGGGCGUUUACCUAGAAGACCAGACCUCCCCCUGCUGCCCAUUCCCCAGCGGGCAGGUGGAAUACAGGGGAUAGUGGGCCUCAAGUGUGCCACUUGUGUCUGGGGUCCCUUUGGCGCCCUCUCCAGCACACCUCUGGCCAUGCCACAUAAGUCCCUCUCAUUGGCUCCAGCUGCUUGCAGGGAGCAAGGUCAUGGUCCCCAGGUCACCUAGUGGGGUGCAGGAAACUGAGCACGUGUGACAGGCAGGGGCAAGGAGAAGGCGCAUCAUCUUUCACAGGGUGCAGACCAGGAUGUAGAGGGUGCUCAGCCUCCAGAGCAGGGGAGCUCAUGGCCUGUCCUGCUUUGUCCAGACCCCGCUUGUUUUUAGCCCCCAUCAUGCAGCAAAUCCCAGACACAUCCCACUUACACACCUUCCACCGUGAGUCUCUUGAAAGGGCCUUUGAAAAACCAAAACCUUACAGGUGGCCGUGGCCCCUGUCUAUAAUCCCAACAACUCGGGACUGAGGCAGGAGGAUCGCAAGUUCUAGGCCAGCCUCACAAGUAAGUUAGGCCCUAAGCAACAGGAUGAGACUCUGGUCUCAAAAAAAUAAAAAGCACUAGGGAUGUGGCUCUGUGGUCAAGGCCCCCUGGGUUCAAUCCCUGGUAUUAAAGAAAAUCAUAACCUCAAUACCUUCACCUGAAUCUAUCAGCACCAGUUCCAAAAGGUGGUCAGGUACUUGGUCAGCAUUGGGGUCACUUCCUUGGCUCGCUCUCCAACAAGCAUUUCUAGCAAAUUAGCACCAGACUCAGGCUCCAGAAGCCCACAUGCUUCCCUGCAUCACCCCUUGGCCCUGGGCUCCAGGCCUGCUCUUGGUCACACUGGCCUGGUUUGUGGACUGUACAAUGGAGCCUGCCAGCCACCUGCCCUCACUCCCUCCCAGGGAUUCCCGGCUCUUCAUAGAAGCCAGCCCAGCCACGGUGGCCUUCCUUGCCACUAGGUCACUCUCUUGUAGGUCCCAAAGCUCUGGGAUGAAGUUUUCCCCCCUAAUUGUUCUGCAGUAAAACUUGUCCCCUCAGCAGAGGGAAGGCUGACCUUAGAGUGUUUGUUUUCCUGCUGAGGACUGUCUGGGAUGGGAGGUGACCUCGGGCCUGUGGGAGGUGUGCGUACAGGAGGGACACCCCUGCCCCAUGGAAUGCAGACCUGGCUGGUCAGGCUGAGGAGAGGCAAGCCAGCCAGGGCUUGGGCUGGGAGGGGGCAAGGGGUGAGGGCUGUCCUGGUCCACUGAGUGCAAUUCUGACCUUCCUG